AACGAACGCUGGCGGCAGGCCUAACACAUGCAAGUCGAGCGCGCCCUUCGGGGUGAGCGGCGGACGGGUUAGUAACGCGUGGGAAUAUGCCCAGAUCUAAGGAAUAGCCACUGGAAACGGUGAGUAAUACCUUAUACGCCCUUCGGGGAAAGAUUUAUCGGAUUUGGAUUAGCCCGCGUUAGAUUAGGUAGUUGGUGGGGUAAUGGCCUACCAAGCCUACGAUCUAUAGCUGGUUUUAGAGGAUGAUCAGCAACACUGGGACUGAGACACGGCCCAGACUCCUACGGGAGGCAGCAGUGGGGAAUCUUGGACAAUGGGCGCAAGCCUGAUCCAGCCAUGCCGCGUGAGCGAUGAAGGCCUUCGGGUCGUAAAGCUCUGUCCUAAGGGAAGAAUAAUGACGGUACCUUAGGAGGAAGCCCCGGCUAACUACGUGCCAGCCGCCGCGGUAAUU
rnacentral:rRNA from 1 species